rnacentral:rRNA from 1 species
CUUCUUUGCUGGCGACCGGCGCACGGGUGAGUAACACGUAUCCAACCUGCCCUUUACUCGGGGAUAGCCUUUCGAAAGAAAGAUUAAUACCCGAUGGCAUAAUGAUUCCGCAUGGUUUCAUUAUUAAAGGAUUCCGGUAAAGGAUGGGGAUGCGUUCCAUUAGGUUGUUGGUGAGGUAACGGCCCACCAAGCCUUCGAUGGAUAGGGGUUCUGAGAGGAAGGUCCCCCACAUUGGAACUGAGACACGGUCCAA